GGGCGGGUAGCUUAGCUUGGUGGAGCACCCGGCUGAUAACCGGGAGGUCGCAGGUUCAAAUCCUGCCUCGCCCA
rnacentral:tRNA from 1 species